CCUAGAACUGAAAAGAGCAAAUAUACGAGAAGUUUACACAUCAUGCUUCAUUGUCGAGAUUUAGUCUGGUAAAGCAAAGAGGAAGUUAUGCUCUAAUAAUUAGGGAAAAUGGCACACACACACACAGAACACUCAAGCCCACCCAGACAGCCCAAUCACUGCCAUGACUCUGUGAUCUAUGUCAUAGAGGCUCCUGGGUUAAAGUAAUAAAAUCAGCUUGGAAAAACACAUGCCCAUCCUGCAUAUUUCUUGGGAGUAAUGGAGUUUUCCAGCACAGAUUGGAUGUUACCAAGAGAAGAGGCAAACAGUUGUUGCUUUUUUUUUUUUAAACUUCCUUUACCUCAAAGGGUGAAUUUCAAGUGUUUACCAGUAUAGUUCUGGAUUGAUGGAGUCAGCAGUCAUGGUCAGCUGGCCUGUUUUUCUAAUAGAAACCCAAACACAAGGAAGGCAAUAUUAAAUUGGAAGGGGAAUCUCUUAGCACUCACCAUAUCCCAUCCAUAUCCUUCCUUAUUUUUCCGGAGCUCAGUCACUGGUACUGUCCCGAAAGAGCUGUGGCUGAUUGAAAUAUUUUCUAAGCAGUGAAUAUGUUCAGUCUGUUGCCUAGAAAAUGCCAGGGCCAUCCUAGAUUUAUACUCUGCUGCCCAAUCUUCUUGUUAAUAUAGGGUGAAUUUCCUAGGCACUGUGCUCAAAUCUCCCUCUCUGCAAGCAAGCUACUUCUUGUCUCCCAAGCAGUCCAAGGCACCUUUCAGUUGCCGGCAGGCGUGCUCAGAGGAGCGGAGUCCCUCUGCUGAGCAGUGCUGAGUGUCCCUGGGCUCGCCUGCACCCUUGGGGACUGGGCGCAGCCUCCCUGUUACCCACCAGGCUGUUCCCAACGUGCCCUCACGGUCAAGAAGAACGGGAUCAAAAACUAGAGCAGGAGAACUUCUCAGAAGAGCACUUGCCUCGUUGGAAAUUUUCAAGGGGAAGAUGUAGCACAGGAUUAAGCAAUCCGGUUGUUCUGAAUUUACAGAACCAGAGACCCGAGUGGAAUGAAGUCUCCCCUUCUCAACUUCAUUACCCAUAAGGUCUGAGCAACAAAACUGAAGAAUAAGAAACUCCAUUCUGGCCCAGGGUUUUCUAGCAAUUUGCUCCAUUGUUUGUUUAAAACUGCUAGGCUAGAUAAUAGUUUUUUUUCUUUUUCUUUUUUUAGUCAGAGUUUUGCUCUUGUUGCCCAGCCUGGAGUGCAAUGGCGCGAUCUCGGCUCACCACAACCUCUGCCUCUCAGGUUCAAGCGAUUCUCCUGCCUCAGCCUCCAGAGUAGCUGCAACAGGCACGAGCCACCACCCCUGCCUAAUUUUGUAUUUUUAGUAGAGAUGGGGUUUCUCCAUGUUGGUCAGGCUAGUCUCAAACUCCCAGCCUCAGGUGAUCUGCCCACCUUAGCCUCACAAAGUACUGGGAUCACAGGUGUGAGCUACCUGUGCUUGGCCUGGUAAUGGUUUCUGAUGCACAUUCUACCUAGCUGUUACUCAAAUUCUUUCAGCAUUCCCAUAAGUCAUCCAGUGCAUUUAUACUUCCUCUGAUAUGUCACCAGCCACACCAAACAGCUCAUAGGCAGAUAUUAUUUGCCUUCUUCGUGUUCUCAAGGGGUCUCCCUUGAAAGUUGUCUGGUAGCAAUUUUUUUAGGCCUAAGUUUUUUUUUUUUUUUUUUUAGACGGAGUUUCCCUCUUGUUACCCAGGCUGGAGUGCAAUGGCAUGAUCUUGGCUCACCGCAACCUCCACCGCCUGGGUUCAGGCAAUUCUCCUCCCUCAGCCUCCUGAGUAGCUGGGAUUAUAGGCACGCGCCACCGUGCCCAGCUAAUUUUUUGUUAUUUUUAGUAGAGACGGGGUUUCACCAUAUUGACCAGGAUGGUCUCGAUCUCUUGACCUCGUGAUCCAUCCGCCUCGGCCUCCCAAAGUGCUGGGAUUACAGGUGUGAACCACUGCACCCGGCCUAGGCCUAAGUUUUUAACUAUUUUUCUGUCCUGCCUUUAAAGUCUCUGAGGAUGGUUAUGCUUUUCCUCUUUAAUAAAUCAGUUGUGCAAGAACUCCUCUCCGUUUCUUAAGAUCCCCAGAAAAGACAGUUUAUGGAGACACAGGGCCUGAGUGGGCCAGGGCCCUCACCAGCUAUUGCCUGGACAAGUCACUUUCUCUACUUUCCCAUUUGUAAAGUGGGACUAAUGGUACUUAUUUGGAGGGUUGUUGUGAAGGUUAAAAGCGUUAGUGUAUUUGAAUUGCUUAGGGCUGUGUUAGAUUUACAGUAAGCACUUAAUAAUUGUUGGUUAUUAUCUAGGAUCAGAAACCUCUGCCUCUUCUACUGGUGUGCCCACUGUGAGAGCCACACUUGCCCUGGCUAGGAGAGAAGAGGAUAAAACAAAGUCUGGAUUAUUUAAGGGGACUGGACAUCUCGGUCUACUGGGACAGAGAACUAAAAACUCACUUUGAUUUUAAGAAAUAAGCUCUAAUGGGGGGCCGUGGUGGCUCUGGCCAGAUGUCCUGGAGCUUGAGGAGGCGAAGCCAUGAGUUCAAGGCCAACCUGAGCAACAUUACAAGCUCUCAUUGAUUAACAAAAAAAAAAAAAAAAAAAAAAGAAAGAAGCUCUAAUGGAGGUGUUUUGUUUUGUUUUGUUUUCCAUUAGACACUCACUUGGUGUACGAGAUAAGUUCUUUCUUCCAAAAGUAAAUUUCACAUUUGUUGCACAUGCCUUGAGGAAGUUGAAAUUAAUCAACAAUAAAAGGCAAACACCAGAAGUAAGAAGUAGAAAUAAAAAGGCUGAAAGUUGGUAAAGAAAUGAAAUGAAGAAGAAAGAAGCAUCUUGAUGUUGUUUUGAAACUACUCUAAAAUAUUCAAUACCAACCUUCAGGGUGGAAAAAAAAUACAGUUGGCCUUCUGUAUCCAUGGGUUUUGCAUCUGUGGAUUAAACCAACCUUGGGUCUCACUAUGUGGCCCAGGUCAGUCUCGAACUCCUGGCCUCCCAAAGUGCUGGGAUUACAGACAUGAGCCAGCAUAUCCAGCUGAAUUUGUUUUAUUUUUCCCUUUUCUCUCUCUCCUAUGAAAUGAAGCCCUACAGAUAAAGUAUAUGUUCUCCACUCCUAGCCCAUUCUUUUUUAUCCCCAGAGGAAACCAUUGCAGUAGCGAAUGACUAUUUCAGUCCCAUCACUGAGUUCAUAAGGUCUCUUUUCGGGUCCUGGAAAGGUGAUAGCUAAGGGUCUUUUUGAGUGUCAGAUUGGGGAAAUCCCACUAACACAGUUGAGACUUCAUAGCCAACAGCAGCAGAUUUUCUCUGAAAGUUAGAAAUGGGGUUUUAAGGCUCUCCAGGUGUUGAGUUGAUCUCUUUCACAUUCUGGUCCAUGCUUUCUUUCCAGACUGUUCAUCCCAGAUGUGGUUAACAGUUUUAGCCACCCAUCUCCCAUAGGGCACAUUCAAGUGCAUCUUGCAGAAUAAUUAUCUCUGCCGUAUCACUCAGGCAAGCCAUUUAACCAUGACUCAUAUCAUCUAUUUGUGAAACAAUCAGAUAAUAAGCCUUGUAUUGCUGGGCAGUUCUUUUUAUGAGUAGAUCUAGUUUCCCCAGACACUGUAUAGGCACCUGAUGGUGAGGCUUAUAGACUCCUUCCUUUCCUUUCCUUCCCCAGCUCCUCUGUUAAUCUGUCUUUCAGUGGAAGUACAAAACAAAACAGAAAAUGCAGUUGAAUGGAAUUCCUCCUAUUUAAGAAGUAAGCACUCUAUAAACUCCCCCACUUACAAUUCUUAAAACCCCUCACUCCGCAAUAACUACUUAAGAAGAUCCAAAGUAGAGAGGACAGGCCUGGGUUAGUGAAUCACAUAAAGUCAGGAAGAUCUUUUAGGAGGCCUUUGUGAAUAUGUGUUUACUUAAAUUAUCAUCACUUUGUAUUUCAAAACUCACAAACAGGCAUCUAAUUAGAUCCUCGCAGGACCCUAUGAGUCAGAGCAGAUAACUUCAUUUGAGAAAACUUGUGCUCAAACUACAAAGUCUCUUCCCCAGGGACAACACCUGCAGUGGCCAGUCCCUAUCUUCUGACCACAGUCUAGUUGGGCUCUCUUCUCUCUACACUCACUGAAAAUUGUGUCUGAAUCUACUUAAUUGGAAGCUAUCUGAGUGUGAUUUCUUUCUUUUUUUCCUUUACUGUAGUAAGAACACUUAACAUGAAAUUUACCCUCUUAACAAAUAUUUAAGUGCACAAUACAGUUUUGUUCAUGGUGGUGCAGUGCUGUUCAGCAGAUCUCGAGAACUUAUUCACCUUGCAUGACUUUAGAUCCACUGAACAGUAAUUCCCAUCUCCUUCUCCUCCCAGACCCUGGCACCCAUCGUCCCACUCUCUGUUUCUGUGAGUUUGACUAUUUUAGAUACCUCAUAGAAGCAGAAUCAUUCAGUAUUUAUUCUCCAGUGACUGGCUUAUUCCACUCAGCAUAUAGUCCUCCAGGCUCAUCCAUGUUGUUGCAUAUGGCAGAAUUUCCUUGUUUUUCAAAGCGGAAUACUAUUUUAUUGUAUGUAUAUACUACAUUCCAUUUAUCCACUGAGUGUUUAUUUAUUUCUAUUUAUUUGUUUAUUUAUUUAUGGAUGGGGUCUCACUAUGCUGUCCUAGGCUGGAGGGCAGUGGCUACUCACAGGCAUGAUCAAGGGGUACUACAGCCCUCAACUCCUUGCCAUAGCCUUCUGAGCAGCUGGGACUGCAGGCAUGUACCACUAUGCCAGGCUGCAUGUAAUUUUUUCCCAGCCAGUGCCAGCGGAUAAGGGUGAGGGGCAUAGUAAGUCAGUGGGAGAGUUGGGAGAAAUUCAUCAGGCCUGAUCACUGUCCCAUAUUAGGAAGAGAGAGCAAAGCACAUCCAACUACCUGAAAUGACUGGGAGGGAAGGCAAUUUCAAUCCUGAAAAGAGGGAAGGCAAUUUCAAUCCUGAAAAGAAGAGAGGAACCAGGGACAACUUGAAAGAGAUGGUUCCCUGAAACCUGGACACGACAGACAUCCCUGCAAUGGAUUAUAUCUGACUGGCCCCCAGUGGUGAAGGUUACUGCAGUGGACAUGCUACGUAGAACUCGUCACAUUUUUCUGCCACCUACACUGUAAUUCACCUAGUAUGUUUCAUUUCAGUCUAACUUUCUCUGGGUAAUACAGGCAUGCCUCAGACAUAUUGUGGGUUUGAUUCCAGACCACUACAACAAAUGAAUAUCACAAUAAAGUAAGUCACAUGAAUGUUUUGUUUUCCAGUGCAUAUUAAAGUUAUGUUUACACUAUACUGUAGUCUAUUAAGUGUGUGAUAGCAUUAUGUAAAAAAAAAAAAAAGUACCUAAUACUUUAUUGCUAAAAAAUGCUAAUGGACAUCUGAGCCAUCAGCAAGUCAUAAUCUUUUUGCUGAGGGAGGGUUUUGCCUUGAUGUGGAUGGCUGCUGUGAUCAGAGUGGUGGCUGCUACAGGUAGGGGUGGCUGUGACAAUGUCUCUUUUUAAAAUAAUUUUUUUUUCAUUUUUAAUUUUUUGUAGAGAUAGGAUCUUGCUAUGUUACCCAGGCUGGUCUCAAGCUUCUGGCCUCAAGCAAUCCUCUCAUCUCGGCUUCCCAAACUGCUGGCAUUACAGGCAUGAGUCACUGCUCCAGCCGGCUGUGGCAAUUUUUGAAAUAAGACAACAAUGAAGUUUGCCACAUCGACUGACUUUUCUUUUCAUGAAAAGUUUCUCUGUUGCAUGCAAUAUUGUUUGACAGCAUUUUACCCACAGUAAAAUUUUUUUCAAACUUGAAGUCAAGGCUGGGUAUGGUGUCUCACACCUGUAAUCACAGCACUUUGGGAGGCCGAGACUGGAGGAUUACUUGAGCCCAGGUGUUCGAGACCAGUCUAAGUAACACGGCAAAACCCCACCUCUACUAAAAAUACGAAACAUUAGUUAGGCGUGGUGGUACAUGCCUGAAGUCCAGCUACUCGGGAGGCUGAGGUGAGAAGAUCACCUUAGCCUAGGAAGUUGAGGCUGCAGUGAGCCAUGAUUAUGCCACUGCACUCCAGUCUGGGCAACAGAGGAGACUCUAUCUCAAAAAAAAUGCUGGAGUCAAAAUCCACCCGAAGCUUAUCAGUGUUUUAUCAACUAAGUUGAUGUAAUAUUCUAAAUCCCUCGUGGUCAUUUCAACAGUGUGCACAGCAUCUUUACCAAGAGUAGAUUCCACCCCAAGAAACUAUUUUCUUGGCUCAUUCAUAAGAAGUAACUCGGCCGGGCGCG